rnacentral:rRNA from 1 species
CCUACGGGUGGCUGCAGUGGGGAAUAUUGGGCAAUGGGCGCAAGCCUGACCCAGCAACGCCGCGUGAAGGAAGAAGGCUUUCGGGUUGUAAACUUCUUUUCUCAGGGACGAAGAAAGUGACGGUACCUGAGGAAUAAGCCACGGCUAACUACGUGCCAGCAGCCGCGGUAAUACGUAGGUGGCACGCGUUAUCCGGAUUUAUUGGGUGUAAAGGGCGUGUAGGCGGGAGCGAAGGUCAGAUGUAAAAACUCAGGGCUAAACCCUGGGCCUGCAUUUGAAACUGUGUAUUUUGAGUGAUGAGAGGUAAUCGGAAUUCCGAGUGUAGCGGUGAAAUGCGUAGAUAUAAGGAGGAACACCAGUGGCGAAGGCGGAUUGCUGGACAGUAACUGACGCUGAGGCGCGAAAGCGUGGGGAGCAAACAGGAUUAGAUACCCUUGUAGUC